rnacentral:rRNA from 1 species
AUUGAACGCUGGCGGCAGGCCUAACACAUGCAAGUCGAGCGAGCGGCGGACGGGGGUGUAAUGUCUGGGAAACUGCCUGAUGGAGGGGGAUAACAACUGGAAACGGUAGCUAAUACCGCAUACCAUCAGAUGUGCCCAGAUGGGAUGAGAUAGUGGGGGGGGUAACGGCUCACCCAGGCGACGAUCCCUAGCUGGUCUGAGAGGGUGACCAGCCACACUGGAACUGAGACACGGUCCAGACUCCUACGGGAGGCAGCAGUGGGGAAUAUUGCACAAUGGGCGCAAGCCUGAUGCAGCCAUGCCGCGUGUGUGAAGAAGGCCUUCGGGUUGUAAAGUACUUUCAGCGGGGAGGCGUUACCCGCAGAAGAAGCACCGGCUAACUCCGUGCCAGCAGCCGCGGUAAUAC